UACGUAGGGGGCAAGCGUUGUCCGGAAUCAUUGGGCGUAAAGAGCGCGUAGGCGGCCCAGUCAGUCCGCUCUGAAAGUCAGGGGCUCAACCCCUGAAUGCGGGUGGAUACUGCUGGGCUAGAGUCCGGAAGAGGCGAGUGGAAUUCCUGGUGUAGCGGUGAAAUGCGCAGAUAUCAGGAGGAACACCGAUGGCGAAGGCAGCUCGCUGGGACGGUACUGACGCUGAGGCGCGAAAGCGCGGGGAGCAAACAGG
rnacentral:rRNA from 1 species